rnacentral:rRNA from 1 species
UACGUAGGGUGCAAGCGUUAAUCGGAAUUACUGGGCGUAAAGCGUGCGCAGGCGGUUCGUGAUGUCUGGUGUGAAAGCCCCGGGCUUAACCUGGGAAUUGCAUUGGAAACUAGCGGGCUGGAGUGUGGCAGAGGGGGGUGGAAUUCCACGUGUAGCAGUGAAAUGCGUAGAGAUGUGGAGGAACACCAGUGGCGAAGGCGACUACCUGGCCUGUUCUUGACGCUGAGGCGCGAAAGCUAGGGGAGCAAACGGG